rnacentral:rRNA from 1 species
AUUGAACGCUGGCGGCACGCCUAACACAUGCAAGUCGAGCGGUAGCAUUGUUAGUAGCAAUACUAACAGAUGACGAGCGGCGGACGGGUGAGGAACACGUAGGAACUUGCCCUUUAGUGGGGGACAACCAAGGGAAACUUUGGCUAAUACCGCAUGAACUCGGAAGAGGAAAGUUGUCCGCAAGGGUAACGCUAGAGGAGAGGCCUGCGUCCGAUUAGCUAGUUGGUGGGGUAAAGGCUCACCAAGGCGAUGAUCGGUAACUGGUCUGAGAGGACGACCAGUCACACUGGGACUGAGACACGGCCCAGACUCCUACGGGAGGCAGCAGUGGGGAAUAUUGGACAAUGGGGGGAACCCUGAUCCAGCGAUGCCGCGUGGGUGAAGAAGGCCUUCGGGUUGUAAAGCCCUUUAGGUUGGGAAGAAGGGCAUUUGUUUAAUAGACAAGUGUUUUGACGGUACCGACAGAAUAAGCACCGGCAAACUCUGUGCCAGCCGCCGCAGUAACAC